ACACGUGGGUAACCUGCCUUAUAGUGGGGGAUAGCCUUUCGAAAGGAAGAUUAAUACCGCAUAAGAUUGUGUAUCGCAUGAUAUAGCAAUUAAAGGAGCAAUUCGCUAUAAGAUGGACCCGCGUCGCAUUAGCUAGUUGGUGAGGUAAUGGCUCACCAAGGCGACGAUGCGUAGCCGACCUGAGAGGGUGAUCGGCCACAUUGGGACUGAGACGCGGCCCAGACUCCUACGGGAGGCAGCAUG
rnacentral:rRNA from 1 species